GAUGGUAGAGACAACAGGGAUUGCCUCAGUAACGGCGAGUGAAGCGGCAACAGCUCAAAUUUGAAAUCUGGCCUUCGGGUCCGAGUUGUAAUUUGCAGAGGAUGCUUCCGGCGCGGCGCCUUCCAAGUCCCCUGGAACGGGGCGCCAUAGAGGGUGAGAGCCCCGUCGGGUCGGCCGCCAAGCCUAUGUGAAGCUCCUUCGACGAGUCGAGUAGUUUGGGAAUGCUGCUCUAAAUGGGAGGUAGACCCCUUCUAAAGCUAAAUACCGGCCAGAGACCGAUAGCGCACAAGUAGAGUGAUCGAAAGAUGAAAAGCACUUUGAAAAGAGGGUUAAACAGUACGUGAAAUUGUUGAAAGGGAAGCGCUUGUGACCAGACGCGCGCCGGGGUGCUCAGCAGGCGUUCUCGCCUGUGCACUCGCCCCGGCGCGGGCCAGCGUCGGUUCGGAUGGGGGGAUAAAGGCGCCGGGCACGUAGCUCCUCCGGGAGUGUUAUAGCCCGGCGUGCCAUGCCCCCGCCCGGACCGAGGUUCGCGCUCCGCAAGGACGCUGGCGUAAUGGUCCCCAGCGGCCCGUCUUGAAACACGGACCAAGGAGUCGAGGUUUUACGCGAGUGUCUGGGUGUCAAACCCGCACGCGUAAUGAAAGUGAACGCAGGUGGGAGCUUCGGCGCACCACCGACCGAUCCUGAUGUUCUCGGAUGGAUUUGAGUAGGAGCGUAGGGCCUCGGACCCGAAAGAUGGUGAACUAUACGUGGAUAGGGUGAAGCCAGAGGAAACUCUGGUGGAGGCUCGCAGCGGUUCUGACGUGCAAAUCGAUCGUCAAAUCUGCGUAUGGGGGCGAAAGACUAAUCGAACCAU
rnacentral:rRNA from 1 species